rnacentral:rRNA from 1 species
UGGGGAAUAUUGCACAAUGGGCGCAAGCCUGAUGCAGCCAUGCCGCGUGUGUGAAGAAGGCCUUCGGGUUGUAAAGCACUUUCAGCGAGGAGGAAGGUGGUGAGCUUAAUACGCUUAUCAAUUGACGUUACUCGCAGAAGAAGCACCGGCUAACUCCGUGCCAGCAGCCGCGGUAAUACGGAGGGUGCAAGCGUUAAUCGGAAUUACUGGGCGUAAAGCGCACGCAGGCGGUCUGUCAAGUCGGAUGUGAAAUCCCCGGGCUCAACCUGGGAACUGCAUUCGAAACUGGCAGGCUAGAGUCUUGUAGAGGGGGGUAGAAUUCCAGGUGUAGCGGUGAAAUGCGUAGAGAUCUGGAGGAAUACCGGUGGCGAAGGCGGCCCCCUGGACAAAGACUGACGCUCAGGUGCGAAAGCGUGGGGAGCAAACA